rnacentral:rRNA from 1 species
AGUGAACGCUGGCGGUAGGCCUAACACAUGCAAGUCGAACGGCAGCACAAGAGAGCUUGCUCUCUGGGUGGCGAGUGGCGGACGGGUGAGGAAUACAUCGGAAUCUACUCUGUCGUGGGGGAUAACGUAAGGAAACUUACGCUAAUACCGCAUACGACCUACGGGUGAAAGCAGGGGACCUUCGGGCCUUGCGCGAUUGAAUGAGCCGAUGUCGGAUUAGCUAGUUGGCGGGGUAAAGGCCCACCAAGGCGACGAUCCGUAGCUGGUCUGAGAGGAUGAUCAGCCACACUGGAACUGAGACACGGUCCAGACUCCUACGGGAGGCAGCAGUGGGGAAUAUUGGACAAUGGGCGCAAGCCUGAUCCAGCCAUACCGCGUGGGUGAAGAAGGCCUUCGGGUUGUAAAGCCCUUUUGUUGGGAAAGAAAUCCAGCUGGCUAAUACCCGGUUGGGAUGACGGUACCCAAAGAAUAAGCACCGACUAACUUCGUGCCAGCAGCCGCGGUAA